CAACUUUUUUAACGUACGAUGGAAGAAUUAUAAUAAGUUACAUCUUCAACAAUUACAAUCCAAUCGACGUUAUUCAUUCCACAUGCUAUUUACACGUUAUAAUACAUAUACAUACGUAAAUGUCGUAAGGUUGGUAAC